GUUACUUGUUUAUUUUCAACCUACGCUUCACUAACAAUCAUAUGGAUAUGUUUUUUUCUACAUUGAAUUGAAGAUUUAAAAAAGUUUCCUAGUGAAUACUGAAAAUAAACCUUUUAUUGCAAACGAUGUACACAAGAGAUAUGGCCAAUAAAAUAACAUACAAUCAAAUUUAUUAAAUCAAAAAGGUUUGCCAAAAAAAGAAAAAGCGCUUCGUUAGAUCCUUUUGUGGCGGGCAUAAUUUAAUAUUUACAAAACCAAAUAACUAACCACUAGGAAUAACAAAGUCAAUGAACGCACACACUCGCAGCAACCCAGACAAAUUUAAUGAGAGACUCCGUUGGAGGGAGAAAUAUGUAUUCUGUGAGUGUGCACAAAUUAUUGUCCCGGGAACAUACUAUAUAUGUUAUAUGUAUGUGGACCUAUGCUAUAAAUGAGUCUGACUCUGACUCUGAAUCUGAAUGGAUGAAGGGUGUUGAUUUACAUUUUUGAUUUAUUUUAUUUAUUUAAGCUGAUGACAUCGACUCAUCUUUCACACACACGCAGUGUGCUGGAUUACUUAUCACAAGUUAUACGCAUUUAUUUGUGUUUUUUAUUUAUUUUUGCAAUCUUUAUUUUGUUUUUAUACCCAAACACUUGACUCACUGGAACGGCAUAAUGUAUUGAAGUGAAUCGAAAUUUUUGUCAGGCUCAAAAAAUAUAUUUUAUAUAAAUACUUUAUCAACAACACAAACCAGAUGAUAUCCAUACAUACAUAUGUAUGUAUGUAUGCAGUCAUGCCACUCUGGUAUUUUUUACAGUACUGGGAUAAGAUUUAGAGUGUCCGACACUGGAAACAAUUUCCUCAGAAUACAAAAUAUACAGAGGAUACAAAGCAGAGGAUAGCCUAUAUUUAACAUGAGUGUAGAUAUCUUUUAUAAUGCCGAAAAAUAAUUAUUUC